UACGUAGGGUGCGAGCGUUAAUCGGAAUUACUGGGCGUAAAGCGUGCGCAGGCGGUUUUGUAAGCCAGAUGUGAAAUCCCCGGGCUCAACCUGGGAAUGGCAUUUGGGACUGCAAGGCUGGAGUGUGGCAGAGGAGACUGGAAUUCCUGGUGUAGCAGUGAAAUGCGUAGAUAUCAGGAGGAAUACCGAUGGCGAAGGCAGGUCUCUGGGCUGACACUGACGCUCAUGCACGAAAGCGUGGGGAGCAAACGGG
rnacentral:rRNA from 1 species